rnacentral:rRNA from 1 species
GGCGUAGCAAUACGUCAGCGGCAGACGGGUGAGUAACGCGUGGGAACGUACCUUUUGGUUCGGAACAACACAGGGAAACUUGUGCUAAUACCGGAUAAGCCCUUACGGGGAAAGAUUUAUCGCCGAAAGAUCGGCCCGCGUCUGAUUAGCUAGUUGGUGAGGUAAUGGCUCACCAAGGCGACGAUCAGUAGCUGGUCUGAGAGGAUGAUCAGCCACAUUGGGACUGAGACACGGCCCAAACUCCUACGGGAGGCAGCAGUGGGGAAUAUUGGACAAUGGGCGCAAGCCUGAUCCAGCCAUGCCGCGUGAGUGAUGAAGGCCCUAGGGUUGUAAAGCUCUUUUGUGCGGGAAGAUAAUGACGGUACCGCAAGAAUAAGCCCCGGCUAACUUCGUGCCAGCAGCCGCGGUAAUACGAAGGGGGCUAGCGUUGCUCGGAAUCACUGGGCGUAAAGGGUGCGUAGGCGGGUCUUUAAGUCAGGGGUGAAAUCCUGGAGCUCAACUCCAGAACUGCCUUUGAUACUGAGGAUCUUGAGUUCGGGAGAGGUGAGUGGAACUGCGAGUGUAGAGGUGAAAUUCGUAGAUAUUCGCAAGAACACCAGUGGCGAAGGCGGCUCACUGGCCCGAUACUGACGCUAGC